UACGGGGGGAGCAAGCGUUGUUCGGAUUUACUGGGCGUAAAGGGCGCGUAGGCGGUCAGCACAAGUCAGUUGUGAAAUCUCCGGGCUUAACUCGGAAAGGUCAACUGAUACUGUGCGACUAGAGUGCAGAAGGGGCAACUGGAAUUCUCGGUGUAGCGGUGAAAUGCGUAGAUAUCAGGAGGAACACCGGCGGCGAAGGCGGCCCUCUGGAUCGUUGCUGACGCUGAGACGCGAAAGCGUGGGGAGCAAACAGG
rnacentral:rRNA from 1 species